GCGGUUGAAGGUUACAGAAUUGCAGGUGGACCCUUGGGUGAGGUUGUUGACCCGCUUUACCCUGGUGGUAGCUUUGACCCGUUAGGGCUUGCUGAUGAUCCAGAGGCUUUUGCUGAGUUGAAGGUGAAGGAGAUCAAGAAUGGAAGACUUGCUAUGUUCUCCAUGUUUGGCUUCUUUGUUCAAGCCAUUGUUACAGGAAAGGGACCAUUGGAGAACCUUGCUGACCACCUUGCUGAUCCCGUUGCCAACAAUGCUUGGUCUUAUGCCACAAA
rnacentral:lncRNA from 1 species